rnacentral:rRNA from 1 species
AAAGUGGAGCAAUCCAUGAGUAGAGUGGCAAACGGGUGAGUNNCACGUGGGUGACCUGCCUUCGAGCGGGGGAUAACGUCCCGAAAGGGACGCUAAUACCGCAUAACAUCCUGCCUUUUAAGAGGUGGAGAUCAAAGCCGGGGAUCGCAAGACCUGGCACUUGAAGAGGGGCCCGCGCCUGAUUAGCUAGUUGGUGGGGUAAUGGCUCACCAAGGCAACGAUCAGUACCCGGCCUGAGAGGGCGGACGGACACACUGGGACUGAGACACGGCCCAGACUCCUACGGGAGGCAGCAGUGGGGAAUUGUUCGCAAUGGGCGCAAGCCUGACGACGCAACGCCGCGUGGAGGAUGAAGACCUUCGGGUCGUAAACUCCUUUCGAUCGAGACGAAUGGUUUUCGGGUGAAUAAUCCGGAAAAGUGACGGUACCGAGAGAAGAAGCCCCGGCUAACUCCGUGCCAGCAGCCGCGGUAAUACGGGGGGGGCAAGCGUUGUUCGGAAUUACUGGGCGUAAAGGGCUCGUAGGUGGCCAACUAAGUCGGACGUGAAAUCCCUCAGCUUAACUGGGGAACUGCGUCCGAUACUGGAUGGCUUGAGUUUGGGAGAGGGAUGCGGAAUUCCAGGUGUAGCGGUGAAAUGCGUAGAUAUCUGGAGGAACACCGGUUGGCGAAGGCGGCAUCCUGGACCAACACUGACACUGAGGAGCGAAAGCCAGGGGAGCAAACGGGAUUAGAUACCCCGGUAGUCCUGGCCCUAAACGAUGAAUGCUUGGUGUGGCGGGUAUCGAUCCCUGCCGUG